rnacentral:lncRNA from 1 species
AGUGUAAUUUAGAUCUUAAACAGAAUAUAAAAAAACUAAGAGAAUCUCGCCGCCUCAAAAGAGGGCAUCCAAAGUUACUUGCCAUGUUGAAUUAAUCACUCCUGAGCUAUACUCUCCAGCCUUUGCUUCAAGGCAUUAUUUUUCAAGUCCCAAAAUAUAUCUUGGCAAGUAAGGAAGUUCAUUCCAGUGAACACAUAUCCCUUCCCUGCAUCAUUCAAACAUGAAUGUAUUCUGAAAAUAUCGGAGGGAGGGGGAGGGGUGCAAAAAUAUAUAACCGUGUGUUGUCAUGAGAUCAUGUAAUGGUUCCUUGCAGAAAAAAGAUCAAUUACUGUUUAGUCUUUCUCUUAAGCUCCUCAAAAUGCUGGAGACUUCGAACACGAGAUCUCUAAGCAAAACUGACAUGUGAAGUGUACUGUAUUGAUGACAAACACAACCCAAGCACUGGCAGAGUAAACAUCUUUCAAAUACCGUCUAUAAGCAAUAAGAUCCAUAUCAAGUCAGAUGAUCCAAAAUAUGACAAACACAACCCACGCACUGGCAGAGAGGAGAGGAAGAGGAGAAUGAGAGGAAUAGAAAGAGGUUGCUUCGACUGGAAGAAAACGUACGGGAUAGCGCUCAUCACUCUUUUUACUAGGAGAGGUUACCUGGGACAAUGUAUUUCUCAUCCGAAAAAGAUAUCUCUGUUUCACUCUCUACAGUAGAAGUAGGAUACGUGGAUCACCCCAGCGUAAGCCUGUGUUUCGCUCUUGUUGGGGUUAAUGUUCAUUGGCAAUCGUCAUCCUCCUCAAAGAAGAGAUUUCACACGCUAUCUAUCCUGGAGAGGAAUUUAAUUGCAGAGAUUCGAUGUUUGAUCCAAAAGAUAUCCACACUAAUUUUUGAGAAGUGAGAAGAAUGAAAGGGAGAAGGCCAACACAAAAGCAAUCUAUGCAAGAAACCUAUACCUUCAUAGGUAGCCUGAGCAAUGGCUUAAAACAUGCAAAACUCCAUAAACAAAUAUCACUUAGCACAGGAAUUAUGAACCCAUGAGAAGGUUCAAAUAAGUACAGUGCUUCUGAAAAUUAGAAGAUAUAUUUCUACAACACCUACUUGGCAGCAUUAAGCUUCUAUGAUCCAUGCACAAACCGAAUCUUUCGCACAUGAGUUACAUCUCAAUUAAACAGAUUCAGAAGGGAUACGAGUAUAUGUAUUAGUGCAUAAACCACUCUUCUCGAUGCUCAGUUGGUCUAAGUUCCGGUAUCUUCAUUUUUCAUAUCCUCCAAAAAAACAUGCUUUGAUAUGCAAAAACUAAUCCACUUCAAGUUCUAGUGAGUUAUACAAUUGUCACUGAAAUAGCACAAGCACUUGCAUUCCUAUGUACUUUACAUAAUGUGCUGGGUGGGUAAACAUGUGAAUAUCAAAGGAACACGUGCUAGAAAAAUCGAAUAACAUACAUCAAAGACAAUAUUUUACAAUCUCAAAUUAACUACUCCAACUAUUUGAUUUUAUUAACCAAAGAAAAAAAAAACUUCCUCUUAUCCAUCGUUUGUGAUUCCUUUUGUCUCUUAUACAGACUGUUUUCGGUACACAUUCUUUAUUUAAGUGUAAUCAUAUUAAUUCUUUCACUAUUAACAUACAGUUUUGUCAGGUAGGAUAUUAUUUUGUUGUAUAAAUAUGUUGCUAUUAUUAUUUUACUUGACAAAAAAGACAACUCUGGCUCCAAAGGUUUGCUAUAUGUCUUUAGGCCAGAUAAGUAUGUGGAACCAUACGGCAAACUCAGUUUUAAUUUAACCAAAUGGAGGCCAAGCAUCGAAACGAGAACAUAAAAAAAGAACCAUAUUACUCACCAUGUUUAACCACUGCUAGCAAAACUGGCAGGUAGUCUUCCAACGCAUGCAAGAUAUUACCAGUGCUAGAUCCUGCACAAACCAACGACAGAGAAAAAUCAAACCCAGUGUCAACUCAGAGGUCAACGUCUUGCACGUAACACCAUCCAACAAUUCAGUCAAAAGCCACCCAAGAAUCCAGACGCUAUAUUAGUAGCUGGUUUUUUUUCAUGAGUCGCAUUAAUUUUGUGACACGCGACUCUAGAAAACGUGGAUCAGAAGGUACCAGACAGUCAUACAUAGAGGUACCUCUGAAACAUGUUAUAAGGAAAAUGUUAGAAAUCCAUACUUUGUCGUACAAUAGAUAAGACAGAUUCAGAGACGUACACAGGUACCAUACUUUGCCGUACAAUAGAUAAGACAAAGAUAAUAUCGCUCUCUUAAGAUAAACAAUUUGAUCCCAUCGCUUCCAAGUCUCAAAUCUUUACUCGUUGUGUGCAGUGUUCUUGUUAGAUUACUACCAUGUAAGCUUCUUUCUCAAACUACGAAAUUUGAAUGUUUUUGAAUGUUCAGAGUCGCUCCCAUCAUUUUUGCUGCAUCAUUACCUUUACUACCUUUGCUAGAAUCACCAUCAAAAGAUAGGCAGACCUAAAAGGUUUUAUGAUUGUCAAAAAAAUUCACCCAAGAAGUAGAUUGCUGUAAAUAGAAAAAAAUUCAAAAGAACAUCAGGUUGGGAACAUGGAAGACAAUUAUCUAUAAUGUCACAUGUUCAAGUUUCUUAAUAACAAUAGUAUACAUGGCUAGAUCUAAGCAAUCAUCAUGGAUCUAUAGAUGGGUUGAUGGAUGAAUGAUACAUUUAUGCUCUCAACCUGACACGCAAAUGAUUAGACAUUGUACUGUAAAUGCAAAGAUGUUCAUACAUUUUUGUGAAAGUAUUAGCACACAAAAGCUAGAGUUAAAGACUCAUACGUUUACUAUCUACUAUAUACAAAGGAGUAUCUCUCAAGAAACUAUGUUUUGGAUAUGCGUAUGCAUCUGUAUUAUUCCAUAUCACUGCUUCUCGGAUCAUAUCAUACUUUUCUGGGGUCACAUAAAACAGAUGGCCAGCAUCAGACCAACACAAGAUAUUAUACAUAUAAUUGCAUUACAAAAACUCUAUAAAUAAGUAAAUCACAAUAUGGUUGCAAAUAUUUUUUCUUCAACAGUCCGGCCCUAUUUGAUUUAUGAUAACUAACGAAACGUAAAAUAUACGUCACACAAAAUAGAGAAAUCAUCUUGAUGAAUUAAUUUAUAAAGAGUAUAUAACCACAAUUACUAAAACACUUCGAAAUAGUAUUGUGUUAAGCUGAUUUGAGAAGGUGGUUAGACUAACAUCUCUGUGUGCAUUUCUAGCUUCUAAUUUUAGCACAAAUCAGUCACACAUGAUGCAAUGUACACACACACACCAAAACUGAACCAAAACGUAUACGCACACACAGUUUGCUCUACUUUCAGCCAUGGCAUCCAAGACAUGAGUUUAACCAAAAUGAGAUGUGUACAAACUGAAGCUGAGUGUAACCGAAACGUACAAAGUGCAAUUGAUGAUCAGACCCGGGGUUAUAUAGAGGAGACUUGCUUACCAUGUUGGUGUUGGGUGGAGGUAAAGAGAGAUAUUGGCUUGCUCCUCACGCCGCUCUACCUGCAGAGACUUGACGGGGUCAGUGAGAUAAGAGAGGGGAGAUGGGAGGAGAGAAGAUCAUCUCAACGAACAGAUCCGACACGAGGGUCGGCCUGGAUCAAGAUCUGCCUCCUCCGUUAGCCAACAUUGCCCUCUUCCUCCAUCCACUGCCUCAUCCUCAUGCUAUCUCCUUCCUUGAUCCAAAUCCAACACACACACACACACAUAGAGAUGGAAAAUGGAUUUCGUAGUGGUUUCUCCUCCCACGAACACCACCCCUCAGUCUGCUGGUCCAGCGACCUGAAGCGGUUGGUCAGCUCAGCCAGCGGGUCGGCCCCGCAACGCCAUCUGCGCCACCGCAGUCGACAAGAGGCCAUCACCACCAGGGCGGCGAGGAGAGGCAAGGGGAGGGGAAGAAGGCCUGGAGGACAGGAGAUGAAGCACGAGCGCGGAUGAGGGCGGCGGCGGCGGCCCUAAACGAGAGAGAGGGGUCGCAUGUGUGGGUUCUCCCCCGACGCACGUUAAUUACCAGAGGAUCGAUCGUGUUUUCACUUUUUUUCCUAUUGCCACAGUAAAAGUCGACGUGGCUAUCGCGAUCGUGCCCCCAGACUUCCCCUCUUGAAGAGUGUAAUGUGCAUUAAUAUUUUUUAAAGUCAAGUUUCUUUAACUUUGAC